UAGCAUAUCAUAAGCGGAGGAAAAGAAACCAACAGGGAUUGCCCUAGUAACGGCGAGUGAAGCGGCAACAGCUCAAAUUUGAAAUCUGGCUCUUUUAGGGUCCGAGUUGUAAUUUGCAGAGGGCGCUUUGGCUUUGGCAGCGGUCCAAGUUCCUUGGAACAGGACGUCACAGAGGGUGAGAAUCCCGUACGUGGUCGCUAGCUAUUGCCGUGUAAAGCCCCUUCGACGAGUCGAGUUGUUUGGGAAUGCAGCUCUAAAUGGGAGGUAAAUUUCUUCUAAAGCUAAAUAUUGGCCAGAGACCGAUAGCGCACAAGUAGAGUGAUCGAAAGAUGAAAAGCACUUUGGAAAGAGAGUCAAACAGCACGUGAAAUUGUUGAAAGGGAAGCGCUUGCAGCCAGACUUGCUUGCAGUUGCUCAUCCGGGCUUUUGCCCGGUGCACUCUUCUGUAGGCAGGCCAGCAUCAGUUUGGGCGGUGGGAUAAAGGUCUCUGUCACGUACCUCUCUUCGGGGAGGCCUUAUAGGGGAGACGACAUACCACCAGCCUAGACUGAGGUCCGCGCAUCUGCUAGGAUGCUGGCGUAAUGGCUGUAAGCGGCCCGUCUUGAAACACGGACCAAGGAGUCUAACAUCUAUGCGAGUGUUUGGGUGUCAAGCCCGAGCGCGUAAUGAAAGUGAACGGAGGUGGGAACCCGCAAGGGUGCACCAUCGACCGAUCCUGAAGUUUUCGGAAGGAUUUGAGUAAGAGCAUGGCUGUUGGGACCCGAAAGAUGGUGAACUAUGCUUGAAUAGGGUGAAGCCAGAGGAAACUCUGGUGGAGGCUCGCAGCGGUUCUGACGUGCAAAUCGAUCGUCAAAUUUGGGCAUAGGGGCGAAAGACUAAUCGAACUAUCUAGUAGCUGGUUCCUGCCGA
rnacentral:rRNA from 1 species